rnacentral:rRNA from 1 species
UGACUGGCAGCUAGCACUCUGCAACUCUCACAUGGUCGCCCACUGAAGCUAAGCAGGGCUGUGCCCGGUCAGUACCUGGAUGGGAGACCACAUGGGAAAGCUAGGUUGCCAAUUGG